AGAAUCAACGCUGGCGGCGUGCCUAACACAUGCAAGUCGAACGAGAAAGUGGAGCAAUCCAUGAGUACAGUGGCGACCGGGUGAGUAACACGUGACCAACCUACCUUCGAGUGGGGGAUAACUCCGGGAAACCGGGCUAAUACCGCAUAACAUCCUUGGAAUGCAAAUUCCGCUGAUCAAAGGAGCAAUUCGCUUGAAGAGGGGGUCGCGGCUGAUUAGCUAGUUGGCGGGGUAAUGGCCCACCAAGGCGAAGAUCGGUA
rnacentral:rRNA from 1 species